rnacentral:rRNA from 1 species
GACGAACGCUGGCGGCGUGCUUAACACAUGCAAGUCGAACGAAGUGGCGAACGGGUGAGUAAUACGUGGGUAACCUGCCCUCCUUUUUGGGAUAAGCCUUGGAAACGGGGUCUAAUACGGAAUAAAGGGGGAUGGGCUCGCGGACUAUCAGCUUGUUGGUGGGGUGAUGGCCUACCAAGGCGGUGACGGGUAGCCGGCCUGAGAGGGUGACCGGACACAUUGUGACUGAGAUACGGCCCAGACUCCUACGGGAGGCAGCAGUGGGGGAUAUUGCACAAUGGGCGAGAGCCUGAUGCAGCGACGCCGCGUGGGGGAUGAAGGCUUUCGGGUUGUAAACCUCUUUCGCUAUCGAACGUUUCCUUUUCCAAGAAGCGCCGGCUAACUACGUGCCAGCAGCCGCGGUAUUUC